CUAUGUGGGUUACUAUACGAUUUUUGGUUUCUUUUAUAUAUAAGUAUUUAGAAAUUUUUGUAAACACAUCAUAACUAAAUUAAUAUUUGAACUUAUUUGAUAUUCAUACUAACCGUUAUAUAUUCUGUAUAAAUUAUUAGUGCAAGGACCUAUGUACAACUCAACGAUGGUACUGAGUUGCUAGAUGCUGUGAUGUUCGAAGAUGUUGUAGAAAACAUAUUCUCAUGUACUGCAGUUCAAUUAAAGUCAUAUUCGAACGAGAAACAUAGGUUGUUUGUCCAAAAAAUUGCGGAGAAAUUAUCGACCCAAAAAUGGAGAAUUCAGUUGUAUGUAAAUCCAACACGAACGAUGAGUUCAAAGUACAAUCAAUUCACCAUUCAAGCAGCGGAACCAAUGGACAAAUAGGAAGAAGUUUCGCUAUACUCUUUUUAGUUUUUCAAAUAAUAUUCCAUAUAUUAAGACUUUUUUAAUAACUUUUUCUUCUAUUUUAAGAUAGCACAUUUUCUUUAAUUUUUGUUACAUAAUGUUUGCUUUAAAUUUUGCAUAACCUAUAUCUUGUUCCUCUAAAUUUUCUAUAAGUAAAUAAUAAAUAUUAUUUUGUUAUGA